rnacentral:rRNA from 1 species
UACGUAUGGAGCAAGCGUUAUCCGGAUUUACUGGGUGUAAAGGGAGCGUAGGCGGCAUACCAAGCCUGAUGUGAAAACCCGGGGCCCAACCCCGGGAGUGCAUUGGGAACUGGCAAGCUAGAGUGUCGGAGAGGCAGGCGGAAUUCCUAGUGUAGCGGUGAAAUGCGUCGAUAUUAGGAGGAACACCAGUGGCGAAGGCGGCCUGCUGGACGAUGACUGACGCUGAGGCUCGAAAGCGUGGGGAGCAAACAGG